AUUGAACGCUGGCGGCAGGCCUAACACAUGCAAGUCGAGCGAGCGGCGGCCGGGUGAGUAAUGUAUGGGGACUGCCCGAUAGAGGGGGAUAACUACUGGAAACGGUAGCUAAUACCGCAUACUAUCGGAUAACCCAUAUGGGAUUAGCUUGUAGGUGAGGUAAUGGCUCACCUAGGCGACGAUCCCUAGCUGGUCUGAGAGGAUGAUCAGCCACAUUGGGACUGCGACACGGCACAGACUCCUACGGAGGGAGCAGUGGGGAGUCUUGCACAGUGGGCUAAGGCCUGAGGCAGGCAUGCCACGUGUAUGAAGAAGGCCCUAGGGUUGUAAAGGACUGUCAGUGGGGAGGCGUUACCGACAGAGGAUGCACCUGCAAACUCCGGGCCAGCAGCCGCGGUAAUAC
rnacentral:rRNA from 1 species